UAAUACGAAGGGGGCUAGCGUUGUUCGGAAUUACUGGGCGUAAAGCGCGCGUAGGCGGUUUUGCAAGCCAGAGGUGAAAUGCCUGAGCUCAACUUAGGAAUUGCCUUUGGGACUGCGAGGCUUUGAGGACUGGAGAGGUGAGUGGAAUUCCCAGUGUAGAGGUGAAAUUCGUAGAUAUUGGGAAGAACACCAGUGGCGAAGGCGGCUCACUGGCCAGUUUCUGACGCUGCAGCGCGAAAGCGUGGGGAUCAAACAG
rnacentral:rRNA from 1 species